rnacentral:rRNA from 1 species
UGAACCUUUACUAUAGCUUGACACUGAACAUUGAGCCUUGAUGUGUAGGAUAGGUGGGAGGCUUUGAAGUGUGGACGCCAGUCUGCAUGGAGCCGACCUUGAAAUACCACCCUUUAAUGUUUGAUGUUCUAACGUGGACCCGUAAUCCGGGUUGCGGACAGUGUCUGGUGGGUAGUUUGACUGGGGCGGUCUCCUCCUAAAGAGUAACGGAGGAGCACGAAGGUUGGCUAAUCCUGGUCGGACAUCAGGAGGUUAGUGCAAUGGCAUAAGCCAGCUUGACUGCGAGCGUGACGGCGCGAGCAGGUGCGAAAGCAGGUCAUAGUGAUCCGGUGGUUCUGAAUGGAAGGGCCAUCGCUCAACGGAUAAAAGGUACUCCGGGGAUAACAGGCUGAUACCGCCCAAGAGUUCAUAUCGACGGCGGUGUUUGGCACCUCGAUGUCGGCUCAUCACAUCCUGGGGCUGAAGUAGGUCCCAAGGGUAUGGCUGUUCGCCAUUUAAAGUGGUACGCGAGCUGGGUUUAGAACGUCGUGAGACAGUUCGGUCCCUAUCUGCCGUGGGCGCUGGAGAACUGAGGGGGGCUGCUCCUAGUACGAGAGGACCGGAGUGGACGCAUCACUGGUGUUCGGGUUGUCAUGCCAAUGGCACUGCCCGGUAGCUAAAUGCGGAAGAGAUAAGUGCUGAAAGCAUCUAAGCACGAAACUUGCCCCGAGAUGAGUUCUCCCUGAGACUUAGAGUCUCCUGAAGGAACGUUGAAGACGACGACGUUGAUAGGCCGGGUGUGUAAGCGCAGCGAUGCGUUGAGCUAACCGGUACUAAUGAACCGUGAGGCUUAACCUUAC